AUGAGAGUUUGAGCAAUCACAUAGGAACUGAGAAAUGUCCUACCCUCGGCAGCAGUGAAGAAUUUUGGACAAAUAGCGUAAGCUAGGUCCAGUGAUCUUGCGUGAACAACAUUUAUAAAUUUGGUUAUUUUUAAAAAUAAUGAUAAUUAUCUAUAAUAAGUUCUGACUAAUCACGUGCCAGCAGUCGCGGUAAGACGUGGGGAACAAGCGUUAUCCAUCUAAACUGGGCGUAAGGGAUAAGUAGGCGAUUAAUAGACAUCUUCCUAUAGGAGAUUAUAUUUAAUUAGAGUUCUAUUAGAAAAGGUUAGAAAUUUUAUAAUAGUUUUUACGAAUUAUUACUAUAAAAGAACUUCCUAAAACCACGGUAAAUUUUUAUAUAGAACUGACGCUGAGUUAUUAAAGUAUGGGGAGCAAACAAGAUUAGAGACCUUGGUAGUCCAUACCCUGAAUAAUAAGUAUUAAGUAUUUAUAAUUAUAAAUACUUUAGCUAACGCGUAAAUACUUCGUCUGGGGAGUACAGCUGCAAAGUUAAAACUUAAAGAAAUUGGCGGGAAUUUAUAUUAACGGUGGAACAUGUGGCUUAAUUUGAUAGUACGCAAAAAAUCUUACCGAUAUUUUGGGUUUAAUUGAUUAAACUUGAUUGGUUUUGCAUGGCUGUCGUCAGUUCGUGCCGUGAGGUGUAUGGUUUAGUCCUUUACGAACGAGAUUCUCUUUAUUGUAAAUUGAUAGUAUAGGGAGUGACGUCAAGUCAGUAUGGACUGCAUAUAUUGGGCUGCACAUGUGUUAUAAGGGCAGUUAUAAUGAGUUACGAUAAUGUAAGUUGGAGUAAAUCUAUAAAAAUUGUCUAAGUACGGAUUGUUUUUUGUAAUUUAGGGACAUGAAGUUGAAAUCGUUAGUAAUCAUGAAGAAGUGCGUUAUGGUGAAUAAAUAAUUAAAUUCUGCACAUACCGCCCAUCAUGCUAGGGAAGUUAAGGUGAUUGGAUAGUUAUGGCCUCUGUUUAGGGUAAAGUUUAAUUCGGGAAUUUAGUUUAUUUUAAAUAUGUAACUGAAGAAUAGUUUGAUAA
rnacentral:rRNA from 1 species